CGGACGAAGGGGAGCUUGYWCCCGGAUGUUAGCGGCGGACGGGUGAGUAACACGWGGGUAACCUGCCUGUAAGACUGGGAUAACUCCGGGAAACCGGAGCUAAUACCGGAUAGUUCCUUGAACCGCAUGGUUCAAGGAUGAAAGACGGUUUCGGCUGUCACUUACAGAUGGACCCGCGGCGCAUUAGCUAGUUGGUGGGGUAAUGGCUCACCAAGGCGACGAUGCGUAGCCGACCUGAGAGGGUGAUCGGCCACACUGGGACUGAGACACGGCCCAGACUCCUACGGGAGGCAGCAGUAGGGAAUCUUCCGCAAUGGACGAAAGUCUGACGGAGCAACGCCGCGUGAGUGAUGAAGGUUUUCGGAUCGUAAAGCUCUGUUGUUAGGGAAGAACAAGUGCGAGAGUAACUGCUCGCACCUUGACGGUACCUAACCAGAAAGCCACGGCUAACUACGUGCCAGCAGCCGCGGUAAUACGUAGGUGGCAAGCGUUGUCCGGAAUUAUUGGGCGUAAAGGGCUCGCAGGCGGUUUCUUAAGUCUGAUGUGAAAGCCCCCGGCUCAACCGGGGAGGGUCAUUGGAAACUGGGAAACUUGAGUGCAGAAGAGGAGAGUGGAAUUCCACGUGUAGCGGUGAAAUGCGUAGAGAUGUGGAGGAACACCAGUGGCGAAGGCGACUCUCUGGUCUGUAACUGACGCUGAGGAGCGAAAGCGUGGGGAGCG
rnacentral:rRNA from 1 species